rnacentral:rRNA from 1 species
GACAGAGGAUGCAAGCGUUAUCCGGAAUGAUUGGGCGUAAAGCGUCUGUAGGUGGCUUUUUAAGUUCGCCGUCAAAUCCCAGGGCUCAACCCUGGACAGGCGGUGGAAACUACCAAGCUGGAGUACGGUAGGGGCAGAGGGAAUUUCCGGUGGAGCGGUGAAAUGCGUUGAUAUCGGAAGGAACGCCGGUGGCGAAAGCGACGUGCUGGACCUCUUCUGACGCUGAGGCGCGAAAGCUAGGGGAGCGAACGGG